CGGACUGCCAUGAGAAGGAAUGAACAAACAUGCAGAAAGAGGGGAAAGAAGGAGAACUCUGGGCACAUUCAGGCCAACUGCAAGACUAUACUUCCCACGGUUUGGUGACCCAAGCCUUUCUCAGAUUCUCUAAUCCAAAAUCAUUCCAUCGAGUUCUUCGGCCCUGGAGACUAGAGAGAGGGCAGAAUCGUCUGAUUAUGCCCAAGUACUGCUGAGUGUGAUUCAAGGACUUGGAGGCAGAAAUGUGAGAGAAUGAAGAGAGAGACCAGCUGAAGAGCAAAACCUGGAGCUGACAGAGGAAUCAUUAAUCAUUCAACAAUGGUGAACCCUGGAAAACCUCACAGUGGACAUGGUCUGAUGUUCUGUCUGGCUUUAAAGAGUUAACAACAAAACAAAACAAAACAAAGGAGCUGCUCUUCCCG